CCUACGGGGGGCUGCAGUGGGGAAUAUUGGACAAUGGGGGGAACCCUGAUCCAGCGACGCCGCGUGAGUGAAGAAGUAUUUCGGUAUGUAAAGCUCUAUCAGCAGGGAAGAAAGAAAUGACGGUACCUGACUAAGAAGCCCCGGCUAACUACGUGCCAGCAGCCGCGGUAAUACGUAGGGGGCAAGCGUUAUCCGGAUUUACUGGGUGUAAAGGGAGCGUAGACGGCGAUGCAAGUCUGAAGUGAAAGGCGGGGGCCCAACCCCUGGACUGCUUUGGAAACUGUAUGGCUGGAGUGCAGGAGAGGUAGGUGGAAUUCGUAGUGUAGCGGUGAAAUGCGUAGAUAUUAGGAGGAACCCCAGUGGCGAAGGCGGCUGACUGAACUGUAACUGACGUUGAGGCUCGAAAGCGUGGGGAGCAAACAGGAUUAGAUACCCCGGUAGUC
rnacentral:rRNA from 1 species